AACGAACGCUGGCGGCAGGCUUAACACAUGCAAGUCGAACGCAUCCUUCGGGGUGAGUGGCAGACGGGUGAGUAACGCGUGGGAACGUGCCCUUCAGUUCGGGAUAACCCAGGGAAACUUGGGCUAAUACCGGAUACGUGCGAGAGCAGAAAGAUUUAUCGCUGAAGGAUCGGCCCGCGUCUGAUUAGCUAGUUGGUGGGGUAAUGGCCCACCAAGGCGACGAUCAGUAGCUGGUCUGAGAGGAUGAUCAGCCACAUUGGGACUGAGACACGGCCCAAACUCCUACGGGAGGCAGCAGUGGGGAAUAUUGGACAGUGGGCGCAAGCCUGAUCCGGCCAUGCCGCGUGAGUGAUGAAGGCCUUAGGGUUGUAAAGCUCUUUCGUCCGGGACGAUAAUGACGGUACCGGAAGAAGAAGCCCCGGCUAACUUCGUGCCAGCCGCCGCAGUAA
rnacentral:rRNA from 1 species